UGAAAAGGGUCAUUUCAAAAUGAAGAAAC
rnacentral:piRNA from 1 species